rnacentral:rRNA from 1 species
UACGAAGGGGGCUAGCGUUGCUCGGAAUGACUGGGCGUAAAGGGCGUGUAGGCGGCUUGUAGAGUCGGGUGUGAAAUUCCUGGGCUUAACCUGGGGGCUGCAUUCGAUACGUAUGGGCUUGAGUGCGGAAGAGGGUCGUGGAAUUCCCAGUGUAGAGGUGAAAUUCGUAGAUAUUGGGAAGAACACCGGUGGCGAAGGCGGCGACCUGGUCCGUGACUGACGCUGAGGCGCGAAAGCGUGGGGAGCAAACAGG